rnacentral:snoRNA from 1 species
AUACCGUGGUAUGGACAGCAUCUCAACAAGUCCUUAUACCUCUCCUAAGGGUCGUACAUGCUCUCGUCGUCCAUUUGCACAAAAGAAGAAAUCUCAUUUCUCAAUUC